AUUGAACGCUGGCGGCAUGCCUUACACAUGCAAGUCGAACGGCAGCACGGGUGCUUGCACCUGGUGGCGAGUGGCGAACGGGUGAGUAAUACAUCGGAACAUGUCCUGUAGUGGGGGAUAGCCCGGCGAAAGCCGGAUUAAUACCGCAUCCGAUCUACGGAUGAAAGCGGGGGCCCUUCGGGCCUCGCGCUAUCGGGUUGGCCGAUGGCUGAUUAGCUAGUUGGUGGGGUAAAGGCCUACCAAGGCGACGAUCAGUAGCUGGUCUGAGAGGACGACCAGCCACACUGGGACUGAGACACGGCCCAGACUCCUACGGGAGGCAGCAGUGGGGAAUUUUGGACAAUGGGCGAAAGCCUGAUCCAGCAAUGCCGCGUGUGUGAAGAAGGCCUUCGGGUUGUAAAGCACUUUUGUCCGGAAAGAAAUCCUUGGCCCUAAUACGGUCGGGGGAUGACGGUACCGGAAGAAUAAGCACCGGCUAACUACGUG
rnacentral:rRNA from 1 species